AUAGUUUUAUCAUCAGUGUGAGAGUUAUUCUUUUUCCUGUAACCCAUGAAAUCAUGAACUAGAACUAGAAAGGUCUUCAAAGACCUCUCAUCCAGGGGGUUUCAAACCAGUUAAGCUAUAGAGCCUUCUUUUAAGCCAGACCUUUCACAGAAAGGCAAUGCAUAAAACAGGGGAGAGAGGUGGCUUUGUUUGAAGUAGGAAAGGGGAACCCAGAGUCCAGCCUACUAGGCCUCACCACCCCCACCCCCACCCCCACCAGCCACAAACUACCCUCCUUAAGCUGUAGUCCCUCCACAAAAUUCCAGGGUGUUGCAGAACACAAUUUGAGAAUCAUCAUUAUAUUCCAGGUCCCAUUUUACAGAUAUGUAAAAUCUGUUUUUACAGCCUCAGUUUCUGAGGCUCAGAAAGGCACAGAAAUUUGCCUAAGGUUCAGUGACAGGAAGGGAUUCCUGCCUCCCACACUAAUGCACUUUACAGUGGGAAUGGCAUUCCCUCCUUCCUGUCCACCAGGUUGAGAAUAAACUCUCUCUUGGUCCUUCCCUGAUUGGGGUGAGGCGUAGCCCCCCCUAGCAUUGACCCAAAUCUCCCUCCCCAUCCCGGCAUAGAGAUAGGAUUCUCAGUGACCAAUAGGGGGGAGAAAUUGAACUUAGACCUACAGAAGUAGAAAAGGAAUCUAUCUGGAAGGUAUUGGGAGGUCAGAGAACUGAAGUGACAGGGUCAGAGACUUAGAUGUUGCUAGGACCCUCCCUAGCCCUUGACUCUCCUUCUCUCUGCAAGUAAGCUUUUCUCCUCCAGGCUGGACACUCAGCUGCAGCAGCUCAGCAUUCAACUCUUAGCUGCUCCACCAGAGAGCCUGAAGCUUUCUGUUUCUGGUCUUAAUGACAGAAUUUCAGGGAAGAACUUUGACCCAACAUGAGUGCAUGCUCAUCCUUGGACCAAUUGUCCACUGCUGCUGGGGUCAGUUACUGUGACUGGCCCAGCUUGAGCCAGGUGCCCAAUCUGUAAUCAAUCGUUGUCAAUAAGGAUGUGGGACGGAUACAAAGAUGGCAUUGGAACCACAGGGUCAAAGAAGGGGAGGAGCAUUUCUCUCAGGAAGUUUAUCUCCUCUCCCCCGCCACACACACUUGCCCCUAGCGCAAUUGCCACUAGCUAGGUUUAAAUGAAAGGCUCCACUCUCCAUGCUUUGUUGCCCUUUAUUUAUAGCUAUUAGAGAACACGCAUCUGGCUUACCUAGAGAAUGGAGGCAUGUCUUGUCAGUCUUUGUAUCCUUCCGGCACACCCAAACAAGAAGCCCCCAUAAGUGCUAUCCGAUUGGAUUGGACUGAACUGAUCCUUAUAGGUAUUUAGUCCAACUUGCCCAUUUUACAAAUAAAUGAGACCUAGAGAGGGUAACUCCUAUGUCAUGAAAGCUGAAAACUGCCCAUCAGAAGAGUUGCAGAACCAGGUCAGGGAGACCUCUCAUCUUGACUUCUAGUCCAGGGCAGGUUAAACUCUGUGUUUAAUCCUUACCAGUAUGGACAUCUGAGACUAAUAGAGGACAUUUCUCAUUUUGGAUGUACCCCCUAUUGGCAAAUCUUAGCCAGGAGCCCAAACCUCCCAAGUGUAGAGUAAUUGAUGACAUCAGAGUCAGAAAUCGAAUGAACAGGCCUCAGUUCCAACCCAACCCUGCCUCUUACUGGACAAGUUCUCAAGCUCUCUAAGCCCCAAUUUUCUCCUCUGUAAAAUAGGCAUAAAUUACAUUUACCUUGAAAGUUGGGAAGACUAACAAUGUGUAUAGUGUCCCUGACACACAGAAGGUCCUCAAAAAAUAGUAAGCUCUUCUAAUGAUUAUUGUUGAUGAUAAAAAGGAUAAAAAACAAGAACUCUGACUUCUCAAAGGAAAAAAAUUGUUCCUGAGGCUCUUCUCUUGGAGAACAUAAAUCUGUAUCUUUCCCGAACAAAAGAUUCUCCUUUGUUAGGAAGGAAGAAAGAAAGGAAGAGAAAGAGGGAGAGGGGGCAAGCUAUCACUGUCUCUACCUUCCCCUGAACUUUGCUCUUCCUCUACCCCAAACUCUGCUCCAUCCCACUGCAGUGUUGAGCUCAGGUCACAUAAGUGCUGUUGUGAGACCACCAGCUUUGAGCCAUCCUAGCUGGGAGAGGGGAAGUACAUGCAGCAGAAUCAGGAUUCCCCCCCACCACCGCCUGCCACCAUGACAGCAGAUAGCAGGGCUGGAACAUAUGGCCCCCACCCCUGCUACUGGUGGCUGAAGGUAAUGGGGGAAGCUCUCAUAGGUCAACAGAAGGUUGUUUGUCUCAUUCUUCACUGGCUCAGCCCUAGAGCCCUAUCUCUCCUCUUUUCCUUACUACUGGGUCUCCAAAUUUAUCAAUAGUAAACAGGCUGGCAUCUUUAAAGUAUGAUCUUCAUUAAGUAAGAAGCAAAUCAUUCCAUACCUUCCCUCCCAAUGCCUCCUUCACCAGGGACUUCUAGCCUCCUAACAAGAGAGGACACCUCCUCCCACUUCCCAGUGACCUUCUCCACCACCACCCCAGCUCCACCCUCACCAUUGCAUCCAUGAGCUGCAACACCAAGAUCAGAUGCAGCGACAUUAAUUGAAAUUGACAUUAGGGGCUCUCUUGCUCAAGCAGAACCACAUUAGAAGAAAUAUAAACAAGAAAGGUUUUGUGUCUGUGACAUUUGUUCUAACAGGAAAAGCCAUCUCUAGAGCAUCUUAUUCAAAAAAGAUUGAAUGCCCAGGAAAUGGCAGAUACAUGCCACCCCCUUUCCCAACCCCAAUAUUCAGAAGAGUCACACACACUUCCCAAGACUUUCCCAUCGACCUUGCUUCAGCCUUUGCCUCCCAGGUGUAUUUCUGUAGGAGUCAUCCACUACAUUCCCCUUCAUGUUCUCCAUCUAUUUCUCAAAAUCCACUCCUCCAUAUUCUUUUAAGAGUUCUCGAUCAGAUGUUUUUAUUUGCUGCUGUACCUCAGGAAUUCUUGACCAGGUGGCCCAAGAAUUUAGCUGGGAUCCAACCAGGGGACCCUGAGACUUAAAGAAUCACAAUGGAGGAGACAGGAAGAUAUUCAAGUUCUCAGGUGGAAAGAGUUCUCCAUCCAGCUCUCCAAAUUCUGAUUUGGUGAUGCCCCUGGAAUUCUACCAUAACAGCAACUUGCCUUUUCAAGCUUGAUCCUCCAGCCAAAUUCCCAUCCUGGCUUCCUCAUUCCCCUCUGAGUGAUCAUUGCUCCAUGACCCAGACCUUAGCCUCUCCCUCUCCUCCUACUGCAAAGAACGACGUCACAUCUCUACCUUAACAGCAAUUUGAUGACUCCAUUGUCAGCAUGGUUUGAAAUUAUUCUCGCCUAGAUUUCUGAUGGAACAAAACAAAGUUUCUCUUCAUUCCUUAAGUUUUCAGUGGGUGACCUAGAUGAAGGAGCAAUGAAACCAUGAAGACUGUGCUCAAAGGACCUUCAUAUAAAAUCUAUGCAUAGCUUAUGAAACACAUUCAAUAAGCGAUUACAAAUGUUUAACGGAUACAUAUAUAACAAGUGACAACUGUUGUAACUAAACCAAAUGAGAAUUUGUCCACCUGAUGCUCAGUAAGCCAAUAAAAACUGACACUGAGCUUUUGCCAUGAACACAGAUAGGCAAUCAGCUGAUGUGGCACCACCCAGGAGAACAGGGAGCUAAUGCUCAAAAGUUCUGAACCCUCUGAUGGCUUGCAAGUGAGGGUUUUCAAGGACAAACUUUGGGGCAGGGGUCUCCUGAAAAGGUAGACGCUGUUGAUUGGAGGCCCAUAAGGCCAUAUAAGCUGGUAUUACUUAAUAAUUUCUGGUGCUGCUUUGCCUCGUGUCCCAGAAGUCUAUUCCAUCUCAAAAGAGUUGGAAUCUGAGAAAAUCUUUGUUCUGUAUGUUAGAGAUUUCAUUAGUGCUGAUUAACUACUUGUCCUACAGCUUCCUGUGAAAGAUGAGCAAGCAUUCCCAUCCAUUGAGUGUAGAUCUAUUAAUUCCCUGGCCAGUCCUGCUGUGUCUGGGGGUGAUGUGACCUCCAGUGUUCAUUCUUCCAUCUGAACUGACAAGAUAGACACCAGCUUCAUUUUAUCACAAAAAUUAGCAUUACAAGAGUACCUGGCUGGCUCAGUCCCUAGAGCAUUGACUCCUGAUCUUGGGGGGCAGGUUGUGAAUUCAAGCUCCACAUUGGGCAUAGAGCUUACUUAAUAAUAACAGGGAAAAAAGAGAAUUCUUAGGAAGAUGUGGUAGUGUUGUGAACUCUGAUAUUCCACACAGGGACACCCCUGCUCUUAGGAAUGAAGGAUUUAAUCCACUAGCUGCUCGGCUCGAAGUGCUGUCAGCAGAUGACCUCUAGUUGUAAGCCUUCUUUGGGAAUUUCCUUACCUGCUGUCUUUUUGAGGCAGCCUACAUACAACGAUUGAUCAACUUGGGAGUAUAGGGGCCUGGUCCUCUUGCCCCAACUCAGAACAACUUUGAAGAGUUUCCCAUGAGGUCAGUUGAAGCCUUUGUUCUGACAUUGGUAGCUCAGGCUUCUCCCUCUGCUCUAUCCUGUUCCUUCCUCUCUCUUCCACAAGUGUCCAUCCCAAGAGCAAUCCCUAAAUAACUUCCUGCAUGCUAAUCUUGAUCUCAGAGUCUGUUUUCCAGAGAACCCAACCUGCCCCCACCCCCAUCCAGGCCCAUUGGAAUGUGACUUUGCAGCUUCUCCAAACAAGACUUUCUGUUUCUCCACUCCUUGGAUCUCCACAAGACUGGCCUUGUGACUUGCUUUAGUCAAUAGAAUGAGGCAGAGGUAAUAUUGUAGCAGUUCUGAGCCUGAGCCUCUACAGGUCUUGCAUGUUUUUAUUCUCACUCUUGGAGCCCUACCACCACCAUGAAAACAAGCCCAAGCUAGACUGCUGGAGUAUGAAAAACAAGUGGCCAAGUCAGUGCUGUUCCCCAGCUGACAGUCAACCACCCCCAGAAGCAGAGCCACCACCUGACCACAAUGUAUGAAUGAACAUAGCCAAAUCCAAAAUACUACCUAGCUGAGCCCACCCCAAAUUGCUAAGCAGAGAAUCAUGACCUAAGAAAUAGUGUUGUUUUAAGUCAGUUAAGUUGGGAGCAGUUUGUUAUGUAGCAAUUCCUAAAUGAUACAAGAGAGAACUGUGUUUGAGAAACCACCUGUGAUAUUGUGAUUUGUUAUAGAAGCAAUAUAUAUUUAAUCUUUAUCCCCUUUUCUGACUCACAGCUCCCCAACAGCUUUGGAAUUUCCUAAGUAUCCAGAGCGAUAAAGUGUCCUUUGUUAUGUUAACGAAGCGACAUUAGGAAAGCAACUAAGGAUGGGGGCUGGUUGCCCGAGCAGCCAACCACGUGAUUAGAGGGUUAGAACUUUCAGUCCCACCCCCUGACCUCCUGACAGGGAAGAAAACCUGGAAAUUGAGUUCAGUCAUCAGUGGCCAAUGAUUUAAUCCAGCAUGCCUUUGUAAUGAAGCCUCCACAAAAUCCCAACAGGAUGGAGUUCGGAGAGCUUCCGGGUUAGUGAACACAGGGAGACUGGGAGAGAAGGUCACCUGGAGAGGAUGUGCAAGCUACACGCCCCUUCCCCGUACAUUGCCCUGUGCAUCUCUUCCACCUGGCUGUCCUGUUAUAAUAAACCAGUAAUCUAGUAAAUAAAACAGUUCUUUUGGUUCUGUGAGCUGCUCUAGCAAAUUAAUCAAACCUGAGGAGGAGGUCGUGGGAACCUCUGAUUAAUAGCCAGUCUGUCAGAAGUACAAAUAAUAACAGGGCACCUGGGUCUCUCAGUUGGUUAAGCAUAGGACUUGGGCUCAGGUCGUGAUCUCGCGGUUCAUGAGUUCGAGUGUUGGACUCUGCUGACAGUUCGGAGCCUGCUUCAGAUUCUGUGUCUCCCUCUCUAUCUGCCCCUCCCCGGCUCACACUCUGUCCCUCUCUCUCUCUCUCAAAAAUAAACAGUAAAAAAAAAAAAGUACAGUAACAACCCAGGCUUGUGACUGAAGGCUGAAAUGGGGGAAAAGAGCAGCCUUGUAGGACUGAUUCC